UACGUAGGGUGCGAGCGUUAGUCGGAAUUACUGGGCGUAAAGCGUGCGCAGGCGGUUUUGUAAGCCAGAUGUGAAAUCCCCGGGCUUAACCUGGGAAUGGCAUUUGGGACUGCAAGGCUUGAGUGCGGCAGAGGAGACUGGAAUUCCUGGUGUAGCAGUGAAAUGCGUAGAUAUCAGGAGGAAUACCGAUGGCGAAGGCAGGUCUCUGGGCUGACACUGACGCUCAUGCACGGAAGCGUGGGGAGCAAACAGG
rnacentral:rRNA from 1 species